rnacentral:rRNA from 1 species
UACGAAGGGGGCUAGCGUUGCUCGGAAUCACUGGGCGUAAAGGGUGCGUAGGCGGUUCUUUAAGUCAGGGGUGAAAUCCUGGAGCUCAACUCCAGAACUGCCUUUGAUACUGAGGAUCUUGAGUGCGGGAGAGGUGAGUGGAACUGCGAGUGUAGAGGUGAAAUUCGUAGAUAUUCGCAAGAACACCAGUGGCGAAGGCGGCUCACUGGCCCAUAACUGACGCUGAGGCACGAAAGCGUGGGGAGCAAACAGG